GCUUGGGGGACAACUAACCAGCCUGGGUAAGCCCCGAAUAUUUUGGGAGAGCUGGGGCUGAAAGAAUGGUGGGGGAAAGUCACUAAAGCAUUCAGUGAGGAAUAAAAACGUGGAGGGGGAUAAUAAUAGCUGACAUGUAUUGAGCCCUCACUAUUUCCAGGCACUGUGCCAAGACUUCAUGUAUAUCCAUGCAUUUCAUCCUCACGACUCCAUGAGGCACUGGCUUUCAUUCACUCUAAGUCACAGCUUUUUUUCCCUUGAAUUUUAACAUUCUUGAAAUCAGGAUGCUUCCUAUAGUCAAUGACCUGGCAUGGUUUAUUUGGCAACAUUUUAAAUUCUUAACGGUACACAAUAAUGGUGCAUUUCUAAUCGAUGGUGCAUUUCUAAUCUUAGAUGUGUUGAACCACAGUGGGAAUUGUUAUCAUCUCCAUUUGUGAGAUUAGUAAAUGCGGUCACACUUAGUAGAUAAAGACACUGAGGUUAAAUAACUUGCCCAGAUCACAGAACAAGCGGCAGAGCCAGGAGGUGAACGUGGAGGAAAGAGCUUGCGAUGUGAUAAAGGAGAGAGUCAAACGCAGGGGAGUUCGGAAGAAAGGGAGGUAGGUUGCUUUUGGCUCGAACAGUGGCUCUUCACUCUGGCUAUGCAAGAGAAUCACUGGGGAAACUUAAAACUGUCCCCAGUACCCAGGUAUGCCCGGACCAGCGUAGGUCAGUACUGGGGCGGAGGUCCUCCCCGUGGAGGGUCUGGGAAAGACUUAUGGAGGAAGGUGUAUUUGUGUUCAGUCCAGAAGGGUGUGUGUUUUGGGGAGGGAGUGGAGUUUGGAGAGGGAGGAAGCUGAGGCCUGGGUCUGAGAAAAGCAUGUCCACUGGGAGGGUGCUGGGCACCGGGCCGGGUGUGUGAGGGGCUCAGCCUGGCCCACAGUAUCCAGUAACGCUCGCCUAUGGAUCAGGUGACCGUGUGGAAGGAAGGGGACGAUGUGGGAGAACUUCCCAUCCACCUUGUUCUCAGGCUGAACUACGGGAACACUGUGGGAAUGAGGCCUCUAGAAACACCUCCAGGGGCAACUCCAGAAGCUUCUCCAGCAUCUGAGCCUGACAUCCGGCAACAUGCCCUGCCUUUGUACAAACUUACAAACUCCGGAAGCUUCACGCUACAUAAUGCCUCCAUUCCUGCAGGCUUGGGAAGGGCCAACGUCACCUUUCUUGGAGAGCCAACAGCAGAGACUGGGAGCAGAGGCUGUGGCGUCAGGCGCAUGCCUCACUUGUGAACGCGGCAACACGGACAGGUUACUUCUCCCUCUAAAAAUGGCCUGCUGACUGCCUACCUCGGAAGGUUACUGUGAGGAGGUGGUUCCCACACGCCUCCCGCAGCACCUGGGACAUGCUGAGUGUUCACAAAGCAGCGAGCUUAAUUGGCAAACAGCACGGGAGGGGCACGGCUCUUCCAUCACAGCUCAGGUGCAUCGGGUGAAACGUGGAAGCCAGGGGCGAGCCGUGACCAGAAGUUUCAGCGGCAAGAAAGAGCUCCCCAUCUACACACCUAAGACCGACUCUACCACUGCCUGCUUUCACCUCCCUGGGCCUCAGGUUGCUUGGCAGUUUCAGGUACAGUUCUGGAAGCUAAGGAAACAGCACUAUGAAUGGAGGUCAGUCAGCCAUGCAGCUUCACCAUGUUACAUUUCAAUGCCAGACUGAUGAUUCUUUGGAUGCUGAGACUGACUUCCAGAACCUCUUCCUGCGAAAUGACUGAUUGAUGUCACUGUCCUGUAUCCAGGGACUUUCUCAGCAAAUGCAUCCAAGGUGUGAAAUGAAGGCCAGCUGUCUGUCUGUCAUAAGGAGCUUCAUCACAGAGAAGAUUGACUUUUAUCACUAAAGACAAGAAGCCAGCACAAGUCAGCACUGGGAGAAGAAAUCAUCUAAACAGACAUUGUCCUAAAACUAUCAAUUCUCCCAUUCAUUCUCCUAAGGGCCCAUUUAUUCUUCCUAAAAGUCACUUGUUCCCCAGCAAUGUGCCCCCCGCCCCUCCCCAUACCUUUAUAAAGUGGUAUACAAGCCUCAGAUUCUAACCAGUUUCAUGAGUCACAUUUUUCUGU